AUGGGGAGCCGGCGAUGCAGGAACCGGGAGCUGUGGCGGCGGAGAUGGAUGCGGGCGCGGGUGCCAGAGAGAGGGAGAGGAGAGGUAGCGGGUGAGGGAGAGAUCGAGAGGGAGAAAGGGGUACGGGCGAGAGGAGUGGUCGAGCGUAGGUUCUCCUGGCGGCGGAGGGAGAGGGGAUCGGGAGAGGUGGCUCGGGCGCCUAGGGUUAGCGCAGGUUGGGCUGCGGGAAGCCUUGGGCCAAAUGGGCCCCAGGAGGCCCAGCCCCUUGGGCCAAAUGGGCCCCAGGAGGCCCAAGUGGCAAGGCUGGGCUCUCUCCCCCUCUUCUUAUUUACUUCUUUAUUUCCUGAUUUAACAAAUAAACCGAGAAAUAAGAAAUGUAGAGAGAGAUAG
rnacentral:rRNA from 1 species